ensembl:lncRNA
GCCAUCACAUGUGCCAGGGUGACAUGGCUUUUCCCUUGUUAACACUUUAGUCUUGCACCCAGAGUGCACCCAACACAAUUUCCACCAGAGUGAGAGAUUACUCCUGCCGACAAACGGGGGAGGAAGAAAAGAAGUAGUACAUCUGUUCUAUAUAUUUGCAUUUCUUUGGUUGAGAUCACAAUGCACCACUUGACUCUGUGGAAAGCGAACAUUCCCAGUCAGGCAUGAGAAACCCACCCUAUCAAUGAGGCCUUUUUCCACCCUUUGGUUUCUUUAACCGGGUAACGGCACAUCACAAGGAGCAGCUCGCACAAUCAGCUCGCACAAUCUGUCAACUCGGAGGCAGACGGGGCCAGUUUAUUCGCGAUUCGCUCUCAUCGCUUUCUAUUUACUCAGAGUUCUCGGGAGCAAGAAAGGAGAGCAAGAGCAAUUUUAGGACAUUGCAAUGUGUGCUAUUCAGCAAUCUCCAGCUCUAAUUGCAGAGGGAGAGGAAUUUUGUACAUCUCCAGCAUUGAGGCACAACAGCUGCAGCUGGCAUGGCAUGUGGUGGGUGUGUUUAAGGGAGGUGUGGUGGCUACAAGUGUAUCAAAAAUAAAUAAAUAAAUUAAAAAAAAAAAACAAACAGAAAAAAGCCACCCACACGCUCACACCUUUGCAUAAAUUUGCAAAAAUGCAUCUUUGUCGCAUCAUGCCUCUGCACUUUUUGUCUUUAAUACUGUGCACACCUUACCAUACUCGAGGGAAAUUACUUUGCUCUAAAUCUGUUACGCUCUUUUCUGCCGCCCGUCAGCACCACGCUUGAUCUCACUGAUUUAGACGGGAGUCAGCUGCCGUAAACAAUUACUGCCUAGAUGUCGUAUACGUUAACUAACCAGUGAAACCAGCAGGUCAGAUCCACGCAUGUCUGACUUUUAUAAAAUGUCAUCACUUCAUCAUCUUAUCCUAUUAGACAUGUGAGAGCGCUUUUGUCACAAUCAGUAAAUGAACUCUUGACUUAUGGGCAAAAACAUUUUUAUUUUAAAACAGCGAAGCAUCACAAAAUCCCCUCAGGCUUUAUUGUGUUCUCAAGAAAGGAUGUGCAUGAGGUCACAGACACCUUGAUCUUUCACCAAACCUAAUCAGUCCUUCCUUUAGUCUGAGUGAUGAAAAACGCACUCCAGCGCAUAUCUACAUAUCGUUUUUGCAAGCCAUCAUCAACCUCUACUAAUUGUCUGGAUUUAUAUGUUCACAUAUCUUAUAAAACGUUAAAAACAAAAAGUGUGGAGAGGAGGUUGGGAAAUUAUUGCUUUUGCUUUAUUCGGCUUCCACACAGUCUGCUUUUUUUUUUUUUUUUUUUUUGAAUGGUAAAUGAAGAAAAGUGUCCAAGGAGAUGAAAACAGAUGAAUUAAUUCCUCCUACCAGGAGCCUGGUUUACUGAUAGGACCUGACGUGUGGGUCCUUGGUGAUUGAGUGACCUUUGAGCUUCAGAACAGAUUGAGGCCAACGAUCUGAUGAGGUGCCCUUAUGAAGGAAGGGAGGGAGUGAACAAAGAGUGGAAAUAAAAUCCCAACAGUCAUAAGGAGUACGAUUCUACCCCACACCGUAGCUUCUCUUCCGCUAGUGAAUGCACGUCUUUUGACAUCAAUAUUUAUGCAAUUUCAGAUUGACAUACACAGAGCCGGAGCUAGAGUCUUUAAUGUACUUGACCUCAGUCGUGCAGAGAUCAGUCACAAGAUGAAGAUUGCGCACAGGAAGGUGACUGUCCUUAAUCACAGCACUGGACAGACUUUACUAUUCCUCACUUCCUUAUCUCUAAACUGCAGCAGGCUCCCAAGAAUUUCACCAAGAUGGCAGCAUUUGGAGAAAUCACCAGGCGCUGGCAUCAGUAUAAGUUACACCGACUCAGUGGAACAGAGGAAAGCCUUGCUUUUAUUUUGGUAG